UUUUGAGUUUAUUUUUGUGUAUGGUGUAAAUUGGUGGUCUAGUUUCAUUUUUUGCAUGUAUCUAAUUUUCCCAACACCAUUUAAUGAAGAGAGUAUCUUGAUUCCAUUGCAUACUCUUGCCUCCUUUGUAAAAUAUUAAUUGAGCAUAGUAGUUUGGGUUGAUUUCUGGGUUCUCUAUUCUAUUCUAUUGGUCUAUAUGUCUGUUUUGUGCCAGUACCAGGCUG